rnacentral:rRNA from 1 species
UACGUAGGGAGCGAGCGUUGUCCGAAGUUACUGGGCGUAAAGCGCGCGUAGGCGGGCCAUUAAGUGAGAGGUGAAAUUCCGGGGCUCAACCCCGGAACUGCCUCUCAUACUGUUGGUCUUGAGUGAGGUAGAGAGAAGUGGAAUGGCUGGUGUAGCGGUGAAAUGCGUAGAUAUCAGUCGGAACACCGGUGGCGAAGGCGGCUUCUUGGGCCUUUACUGACGCUGAGGCGCGAAAGCCAGGGGAGCGAACGGG